CAUUCCACAUCCAUUUUGGCCAAGAGAAGCAGCCCAGCCUGGAUGACACAACAUCCACCAGUGAUCCAGACUCCGUUCCCAGGGCUCGUCAAAAACCCACCCAAGGAGCUCUGCACCUGCCCCAGGAGGGGGAGGGAUGAUCCCAUUCCUGCCAGGCACAGCCUGGCCUUGCUCAAAACCAUUGGAAGGAGGUUUCCAGCUGCCUACUUUUGUUUCCCAAUUAAUAAAGGGUAAAUGACACUUGGA